UACGGAGGAUGCGAGCAUUAUCCGGAUUUAUUGGGUUUAAAGGGUGCGUAGGCGGAGUGCCAAGUCAGCGGUAAAAAUUCGGGGCUCAACCCCGUCGUGCCGUUGAAACUGGCGCCCUUGAGUGGGCGAGAAGUAUGCGGAAUGCGUGGUGUAGCGGUGAAAUGCAUAGAUAUCACGCAGAACCCCGAUUGCGAAGGCAGCAUACCGGCGCCCGACUGACGCUGAAGCACGAAAGCGUGGGUAUCGAACAGG
rnacentral:rRNA from 1 species